rnacentral:rRNA from 1 species
UACGUAGGGUGCAAGCGUUGUCCGGAAUUAUUGGGCGUAAAGAGCUCGUAGGCGGUUUGUUGCGUCGGAUGUGAAAGCCCGGGGCUUAACUCCGGGUCUGCAUUCGAUACGGGCAGGCUAGAGUUCGGUAGGGGAGAUCGGAAUUCCUGGUGUAGCGGUGAAAUGCGCAGGUAUCAGGAGGAACACCGGUGGCGAAGGCGGAUCUCUGGGCCGAUACUGACGCUGAGGAGCGAAAGCGUGGGGAGCGAACAGG